rnacentral:rRNA from 1 species
AAUGAACGCUGGCGGCGGGCCUAACACAUGCAAGUCGAGCGGACAGACGAGGAGCUUUCUCCUCUGCCGUUAGCGGCGGACGGGUGAGUAACACGUGGAUAACCUACCUAUAAGACUGGGGUAACUACGUGAAACCGCAUCCAAUAACGGAGCAUAUGUUGAACGGCAUGGAUCAGUAGUGCUACACGGUUUUCCUGAUACUUAGAGAUGGAUCCGCGCCGCAUUAGCUAGUUGGUAAGGUAACGGCUUACCAAGGCGACGAUGCGUAGCCGAUCUGAGAGGAUGAUCAGCCACACUGGAACUGAGACACGGUCCAGACUCCUACGGGAGGCAGCAGUAGGGAAUAUUGCACAAUGGGCGAAAGCCUGACCCAGCCAUGCCGCGUGGGUGAAGAAGGUCUUCGGAUCGUAAAGCUCUUUUAUUGGGGAAGAACAGAAGUAUGAUAAUACAUGGCUGUUUUGACGGUACCUAAAGAAUAAGCACCGGCUAACUUCGUG